ACUCCCGCCCCGCGGUUUCUCCUUCAAUUUCUUUUCACUUGCAGCUCUUCUCUUCCAUUGUGUCAGAUCUAGACUUCACUUUUCAUGCCCUAAUUUUAGAUUAAGCUCCACUUUAUCAAUCAGUGUAUAUGGAUUUCUCAGUGACAAAAGGGUAAAAUCUCAUUUGUUUUUCCUUGAAUCCUUUUAGGGUUUUAAAUUAGAACUGAUUUGAUAUUUGAUGUUCAUUCUCUCCCUCCCAUUCUUUGAAUUCAGGUUUAUUAGAAACUCCGCGUGAUUAUGAUAUGGAUGGGCUAACUCAACUGAUAAGUUUGAGUUAAAUAAUAGGGGCUGUAAAGGAGUCUGGCCAUGAUUUUUCUGAUUAUCUUAAUAAACAUGCUUCCAACUUCUAAGUUUAUGACGACUCUUGAUGAAAAUCAAUCAGAAAAUCACACCAAUUGGCAGCUUUUGGGAAGGCAUUUCAGGAUGAAUCUGUCAAUGAGGGGAAACUUGCUCUUGAUUGGGAGACCUUAGAGCUACUUAGUUUGCCGAACAACCCUAAUGCCCACGGCUUGCUAAAGGAGCAACUAGCUACAGCUGCAGAGUACCCUAACACAUCAGAACCUGAAGGCGAGAUUGCGGAAAUAAUAGGUACCUUGACAUCUAGAUAAACAGUUACUGCACGUUAUAAUUGCAACUUCCGCUGGGCCUGAGAAUUAGAUGGGUGCUCGACUCUACUCGUCUUGCGCGAAAUUGGCAAGGUCCUGCAUCUGCUAGCACAAAGAGCUGAAUACAAGGUGGAGAAUGCUAGGAAAGCAGCUAAACUCCUAGACAGUUGGACUCGUAGAAGCUAUAUAGCCGAAUAGGCGUGCAAAAACUAUGGGCGUGGAACCAUGCAACUUUAUGGGUCUCCUGUUUAUAUACAGCUAAACUCCUAGACAAAUUCCUAGACAGUUAGACUCCUAGAAGCGAUACAGCUGAAUAGGCGUGCAAUGGUGCCAGCCCAUUGCAAGGGUAUGCACUUGCACCCUUGCCCAGCUGGCUCCAAAGCCUAUUUUUAGGCCCAAUUAGAAUUUUUUUUUACAUAUAAGCAUAUUUUUGAGAGAUUUUUUGGGGACCAUGGUUUUUUUGGGGGACCAUGGUCUUAUUAGGCCACCUACCUUACAAUGUUAAGGGAUGUCCUAAAAUCAGAUGAGAUUACUAAUUUGGUCCUCAUCCUAAUUAAAUUAACCCUAACCUAAUAA